CAAAAGCCUGCACUCCCAGUAGCUAUCCUGGAGGGUGGUUGCCACCUUUGACAUAAAAUAUUUCAACAUAACAACCAAAUCCUUUUGUCUUUAUGAAGUGAUUCCCUCCUUCAAUGAAUCAGGGAUCAAAUGGAUAAGGUAACCUACUUCAAAGCAAGGUUGCUAACUAGACAUGUUUAUAUGUAAGGCUUAAACAUCCACGUUUCAGGGGAGAUCUAUGCACAGCAAGUUAUUCUUCAAUUAGGCUAUUCAUUUAGGCCUGUCUGGAGUGUGUUGCCCCUCGUUAAGGCCUGUCUGGAGCGUGUUGCCCCUCGUUAAGGCCUGUCUGGAGCGUGUUGCCCCUCGUUAAGGCCUGUCUGGAGCGUGUUACCCCUCGUUAAGGCCUGUCUGGAGCGUGUUGCCCCUCGUUAAGGCCUGUCUGGAGCGUGUUGCCCCUCGUUAAUGCCUGUCUGGAGCGUGUUGCCCCUCGUUAAGGCCUGUCUAGAGCGUGUUGCCCCUCGUUAAGGCCUGUCUGAGUCAGGGUCAUCCGGGGUAAAGAGCUAGACAGAAAGAUCCACCUUAUGUCAUCUGCAGUUGAAGGGGGAAAAAAAACUUUACUUUUCCACCGUGAUCUGCUACCCCACAAGACGUUAGGAUUACGUUAUGGCAUGUUGUGCCGGGAGAAAAGAAAAUCACUCCCACAUCAAACAAACAGCAACCCCAACACACUGGCCUCUCUCCCAACUGAUAACAAAGAAAAACACCAAAGAGAGAGAGACAGCUUUUUACCUGAGGGCAUAGAAUCAGACGCCUUCGCUCAUUCUCUCAUUUCCUGUGUUUUAUUAUAAAUAUUUAGGUGAGAGAUGUGGCUUCUUCGGGCAGUGGUUCUCAAACCUCUUCUCAGGGACCCCCCAAGACAUUUCGCAGUGUUGUUGUACUAGGUCACCUGAUUCACAUAGUCAAGGACUUCAUGAUUAGUUGACAAGUUGAAUUAGGUGUACUAGUUCUGGAAUAGUAAAAAAUAAAUAAAUACAUGGAACAGUUGGGGGUCCCCAGGGAGUGGGGGAGAAUCUCUCACAAGAAUCUCCCACAAAAAUCUCUCACAAGAAUCUCUCACAAGAAUCUCCCACAAGAAUCUCUCACAAGAAUCUCUCACAAGAAUCUCUCACACGAAUCUCUCACAAGAAUCUCUCACAAGAAUCUCCCACAAGAAUCUCUCACAAGAAUCUCUCACAAUAAUCUCUCACAAGAAUCUCUCACAAGAAUCUCCCACAAUAAUCUCUCACAAGAAUCUCUCACAAGAAUCUCUCACAAGAAUCUCUCACAAGAAUCUCCCACAAGAAUCUCUCACAAGAAUCUCUCACAAUAAUCUCUCACAAGAAUCUCUCACAAGAAUCUCUCACAAGAAUCUCUCACAAGAAUCUCCCACAAGAAUCUCUCACAAGAAUCUCUCACAAGAAUCUCCCACAAGAAUCUCCCACAAGAAUCUCUCACAAGAAUCUCCCACAAGAAUCUCUCACAAGAAUCUCUUUCAAAAGGUAAAUAUCCCCAACAGGUUUUAUAUAAUUGCACGGUGUUUGCAUUUCAUCUUCUACUACAGAAGGUCUUAGGACCUUUUUAGACAAUCAAAAGAUGUGGUUAAGCCUUAAGUAAGAGUCCUAUUAUAAAGCCUUAAGCACGAGUCCUAUUAUAAAGCCUUAAGCACAAGUCCUAUUAUAAAGCCUUAAGCACGAGUCCCAUUAUAAAGCCUUAAGCACG
ensembl:lncRNA